rnacentral:rRNA from 1 species
UACGUAGGGGGCUAGCGUUGUCCGGAAUCAUUGGGCGUAAAGCGCGUGUAGGCGGUCCGGUAAGUCCGCUGUGAAAGUCGGGGGCUCAACCCUCGGAUGCCGGUGGAUACUGUCGGGCUUGAGUACGGAAGAGGCGAGUGGAAUUCCUGGUGUAGCGGUGGAAUGCGUAGAGAUCCCCAAGAACACCAGUUGCGAAGGCGGCUGACUGGACACAUAUUGACGCUGAGGCUCGAAAGCAUGGGGAGCAAACAGG